AGUGCGAAUCUCGAAAGCCUGUCUCAGUUCGGAUUGGAGUCUGCAACCCGACUCCAUGAAGCUGGAUUCGCUAGUAAUCGCGCAUCAGCCACGGCGCGGUGAAUACGUUCCCGGGCCUUGUACACACCGCCCGUCAAGCCAUGGAAGCCGGGGGUGCCUGAAGUGCGCUGCCGCAAGGAGCGCCCUAGGGUAAAACCGGUGACUGGGGCUAAGUCGUAACAAGGUAAC
rnacentral:rRNA from 1 species